UACAGAGGGGGCAAGCGUUGUUCGGAAUUACUGGGCGUAAAGGGCGCGUAGGCGGCCUUCUAAGUCGAACGUGAAAUCCCUGGGCUCAACCCAGGAACUGCGUCCGAUACUGGCAGGCUUGAAUCCGGGAGAGGGAUGCGGAAUUCCAGGUGUAGCGGUGAAAUGCGUAGAUAUCUGGAGGAACACCGGUGGCGAAGGCGGCAUCCUGGACCAAUUCUGACGCUGAGGAGCGAAAGCCAGGGGAGCAAACGGG
rnacentral:rRNA from 1 species